rnacentral:rRNA from 1 species
CUACUUUGCUGACGAGCGGCGGACGGGUGAGUAAUGCUUGGGAACAUGCCUUGAGGUGGGGGACAACAGUUGGAAACGACUGCUAAUACCGCAUAAUGUCUACGGACCAAAGGGGGCUUCGGCUCUCGCCUUUAGAUUGGCCCAAGUGGGAUUAGCUAGUUGGUGAGGUAAUGGCUCACCAAGGCGACGAUCCCUAGCUGGUUUGAGAGGAUGAUCAGCCACACUGGGACUGAGACACGGCCCAGACUCCUACGGGAGGCAGCAGUGGGGAAUAUUGCACAAUGGGCGCAAGCCUGAUGCAGCCAUGCCGCGUGUGUGAAGAAGGCCUUCGGGUUGUAAAGCACUUUCAGUCAGGAGGAAAGGUUAACGGUUAAUACCCGUUAGCUGUGACGUUACUGACAGAAGAAGCACCGGCUAACUCCGUGCCAGCAGCCGCGGUAAUACGGAGGGUGCGAGCGUUAAUCGGAAUUACUGGGCGUAAAGCGUACGCAGGCGGUUUGUUAAGCGAGAUGUGAAAGCCCCGGGCUCAACCUGGGAACUGCAUUUCGAACUGGCAAACUAGAGUGUGAUAGAGGGUGGUAGAAUUUCAGGUGUAGCGGUGAAAUGCGUAGAGAUCUGAAGGAAUACCGAUGGCGAAGGCAGCCACCUGG